rnacentral:lncRNA from 1 species
GUUGGAUUAAGUGAACCCAGCCUCAGGAUUAGGUGAACUUGUUGGAAGCGCUGGCUGCUUUUCCAUCUCCGUCCCCGGGAGCUUUUCCAUCUCCUUAAACUCUAGUAGAAGCUGCAGCUGUGAGAACUGCCAGUGGGCCUCAGGGGAACACAAGGCCUCUGGAGGGGCUUCACACCAGCUUCCCUCACCCCUCUUUCCUGCUGAGAUCCCCAUCUUCUCAACCAUCCCCCAUACAGUUUUCUAAGAAAGCCAGAGGAGGAAAUUAUCAUGAAAAAGAGAAUUGAGGUGGACUUGUCUGCCGGGCCAUUUCCUUCCCACCUAAGCUCCUGCCAGAUGGCUCCCAGUUGCUGUGUUUGAGCCCAGGCUGACCACUUCCUAGGCAGUGGCGUUGGAGAUGGGUGUGGCCUUGCCUCCAGGAUCUCCUCACAGCUUGUGCUUCCUGACAGCUGUGGACACUUGGGCUGACUGCAGACCUCCCGCUACCCUGAUUUCCAGCAAGUGAGCCAGCGCCAUGAGGAGUGGCUGCCUCUUGAAUCCUGUCAGUCUCCGGCAGAUCCGAUUACAUCUGGGACCCUUAAGAGUACUUGAAGCAAACGGCGCUGGUCUAUUUUAAUCCUGCUCCUUCUAGAAACUAGAAACUGUAAGGAGAGUCUUCCUGCUGACAGGUGGCUCCAUAAAAGUCGUCCAUCUGCUGCUAAUUAUGGCAGAAAGAAAAUUCACAGAGCCGAGUUUUCAGUUUAUUUGCUAAAGAUCUCCAAAGGAAAGAACUAUUCCUUCCAGCCCAGAACACUGUCUCUGAACAGCAAGAUGGCUUUGAAACGCUUUCACAACGAAGCAAUACUUCCAAUUUGUUAAGCACAUGUGACUCAGCCACACCAUGGAACUCACUAGGAUUGAAGGUCUGCCUCAAGCAACUUAUUCCAGUUCUCUGGCUACGUUUGCUGUAUGCCCUAUACAUCUUAUUUCUACAGGAAUGGCAGUUUGGGGCAUUUGAAAAAGUUGAAGUUCCCUGUUGCAUGUCCUUGGUCCCCAAAUCCAAGGAUUGUAAUUGUCCCCAGACUGUAUUGCUUGCAGAAAGAUAGGACACAGUAUUUGAAACCAAUGGGCUAAAUUUUGCUAAAUAACAUCUUGUUUUAUUUAUUCACAAAUAAAAAUAAUUUUGAGAUACUCUAUAAAUAAUUUUAUUGGAAACAACGUUCCUUUUGGAAUUGAACUGAAAUAACCAUGUCAGA